AAUAAGUGCAGCCGUGGAUAUCCGUGUCCAACGUUUGACCGUCCGUCUUAUUUGAAAAAUUUGUGAAAAAUUUACAAAUAUUUAGUCACACAUAAAGUAUUAUUCAUGUUUUAUCAUCUAAUAGCAAUAAAAAUACUAAUCAUAAAAAAAUUCAAAUAAGACGAACGGUCAAACGUUGAACGUGAAUAGUGCAAAACUGCACUUAUU
rfam:Oryza sativa (indica cultivar-group) chromosome 3, whole genome shotgun sequence.